GCUUAACCGGAGAAGUGCAUCGGAAACCGGGAGACUUGAGUGCAGAAGAGGACAGUGGAACUCCAUGUGUAGCGGUGAAAUGCGUAGAUAUAUGGAAGAACACCAGUGGCGAAGGCGGCUGUCUGGUCUGUAACUGACGCUGAGGCUCGAAAGCAUGGGUAGCGAACAGGAUUAGAUACCCUGGUAGUCCAUGCCGUAAACGAUGAGUGCUAAGUGUUGGAGGGUUUCCGCCCUUCAGUGCUGCAGCUAACGCAUUAAGCACUCCGCCUGGGGAGUACGACCGCAAGGUUGAAACUCAAAGGAAUUGACGGGGGCCCGCACAAGCGGUGGAGCAUGUGGUUUAAUUCGAUGCUACGCGAAGAACCUUACCAGGUCUUGACAUCUUCUGCCAACCUAAGAGAUUAGGCGUUCCCUUCGGGGACAGAAUGACAGGUGGUGCAUGGUUGUCGUCAGCUCGUGUCGUGAGAUGUUGGGUUAAGUCCCGCAACGAGCGCAACCCUUAUUGUUAGUUGCCAGCAUUCAGUUGGGCACUCUAGCAAGACUGCCGGUGACAAACCGGAGGAAGGUGGGGAUGACGUCAAAUCAUCAUGCCCCUUAUGACCUGGGCUACACACGUGCUACAAUGGACGGUACAACG
rnacentral:rRNA from 1 species